UACGUAGGUGGCAAGCGUUAUCCGGAAUUACUGGGCGUAAAGCGUGCGCAGGCGGUUCGUUGUGUCUGUGGUGAAAGCCCCGGGCUUAACCCUGGGAAUGGCCAUGGAAACUGGCGAGCUGGAGUGUGGCAGAGGGGGUGGGAAUUCCGCGUGUAGCAGUGAAAUGCGUAGAUAUCAGGAAGAACACCCGUGGCGAAGGCGGUUCUCUGGGACGGUACUGACGCUGAGACGCGAAAGCGUGGGGAGCGAACAGG
rnacentral:rRNA from 1 species